UUUGAUGUUCUAACGUGGACCCGUGAUCCGGGUUGCGGACAGUGUCUGGUGGGUAGUUUGACUGGGGCGGUCUCCUCCUAAAGAGUAACGGAGGAGCACGAAGGUUGGCUAAUCCUGGUCGGACAUCAGGAGGUUAGUGCAAUGGCAUAAGCCAGCUUGACUGCGAGCGUGACGGCGCGAGCAGGUGCGAAAGCAGGUCAUAGUGAUCCGGUGGUUCUGAAUGGAAGGGCCAUCGCUCAACGGAUAAAAGGUACUCCGGGGAUAACAGGCUGAUACCGCCCAAGAGUUCAUAUCGACGGCGGUGUUUGGCACCUCGAUGUCGGCUCAUCACAUCCUGGGGCUGAAGUAGGUCCCAAGGGUAUGGCUGUUCGCCAUUUAAAGUGGUACGCGAGCUGGGUUUAGAACGUCGUGAGACAGUUCGGUCCCUAUCUGCCGUGGGCGCUGGAGAACUGAGGGGGGCUGCUCCUAGUACGAGAGGACCGGAGUGGACGCAUCACUGGUGUUCGGGUUGUCAUGCCAAUGGCACUGCCCGGUAGCUAAAUGCGGAAGAGAUAAGUGCUGAAAGCAUCUAAGCACGAAACUUGCCCCGAGAUGAGUUCUCCCUGACCCUUUAAGGGUCCUGAAGGAACGUUGAAGACGACGACGUUGAUAGGCCGGGUGUGUAAGCGCAGCGAUGCGUUGAGCUAACCGGUACUAAUGAACCGUGAGGCUUAACCUUACAACGCCGAAG
rnacentral:rRNA from 1 species